rnacentral:rRNA from 1 species
GACGAACGCUGGCGGCGUGCUUAACACAUGCAAGUCGAACGGAAAGGCCCUGCUUGCCGGGUACUCGAGUGGCGAACGGGUGAGUAACACGUGGGUGAUCUGCCCUGCACUUCGGGAUAAGCCUGGGAAACUGGGUCUAAUACCGGAUAGGAGCCAUUUUUAGUGUGAUGGUUGGAAAGUUUUUUCGGUGUAGGAUGAGCUCGCGGCCUAUCAGCUUGUUGGUGGGGUAAUGGCCUACCAAGGCGGCGACGGGUAGCCGGCCUGAGAGGGUGGACGGCCACAGUGGGACUGAGAGACGGCCCAGACUCCUACGGGAGGCAGCAGUGGGGAAGAUUGCACAAUGGGCGCAAGCCUGAUGCAGCGACGCCGCGUGGGGGAUGACGGCCUUCGGGUUGUAAACUCCUUUCGCUAGGGACGAAGCUUUUUGUGACGGUACCUAGAGAAGAAGCACCGGCUAACUACGUG